UCCCCAGGAGGCACUGGGGGCCAGAAGCUGGCCCAGCUCCCAGAACUUGCUUCUGCCGAGAUGAGUCUCCAUGUCAUCUACCUGCACCAGCUUCACCAGCAGCAGCAGCAGCAGGAGCCGUGGGGUGAGGCUGCAGCCUCCAUCCUGUCCAGGCCCUGCUCCAGCCCCUCACAGCCACCCUCGCCUGAUGAGGAGAAGCCAUCCUGGUCAAGUGACGGCUCCAGUCCUGCCUCUAGCCCCAGACAACAGUGGGGAACCCAGAAGGCCCGGAAUCUGUUCCCCGGAGGGUUUCAGGUGACCACAGACACCCAGAAGGAGCCUGACCGGGCCUCUUGCACUGACUGAGACGACUCCUCAGGGUCAGUAUUGCCUCCUGUGAGGGGAGGGAGAAAGGACGGCAUAGGUAGUUGGUUUGGAGUCCGACUUGAAGCGAUGGGAGCAGUGGUGGGAAUUUGGGGUGAUGGGAGGUGGUCAUCUCUGGAAUCUAGACCCCUGGACUGCUUGCCAAGAGCCGUCUCCUCCCACAGGUACCCUGGCUUCGGCAGCCACAGGAGAUUGGAGGGUGGAGUAGAAAAACACAAGGAGUCAUUGUUAGAGGCCCCAUAGAUGACAGGCCCAGGUGCUUUAGUUGGGCAGGACCUGGGAGUCAGUGAGGAACUCGCCCCGAGAACAGAGAAAAGGUAGGCAAGGAGAGGAGAUGCUGAUGGCAUCUGGAAACAAGUCUUAGAGAUGGUCUGCACCCAGAGGGAAUAAGGGGAGACAUCCCCAACUGGAAUGUGUCCUGGAGCAGCUGCCUGGGAAGAAGUCCUCGAGUUUCCUCAAGGUGGGGGACAGAGGUCAAGGAUGAGGCCGAGCUAAAUGGAAGGGCGACAGUGAGGCAGGUGGGCUUUAAGGCUGUGGAUUCGUCAUGCUGGCGGCUGCCAGCAGCACUUUCAGGUUCCUUGGGGCUUGUAGGGGAUGGGGACUUGUCAGUGGAAAGACGGGAGGGAUGAUGUUUUUGGACUUCAGUACGGGUGUGAUGUCCCAGGAAGUGGGUGUGGCUCCCCAUCCUGUAUGAAA
rnacentral:lncRNA from 1 species